AUUUAGCCUGAAAACAUGCACAUUUUUUUUCUUUUAGUUUGUCAUUACUAUUAAUCUAGUAAGCCUAAAUAUGGUCUGAUUACCAUAAGUCAUUAAGCUGGAGUGAGGACACUUACGCACCCAUUUGUGACCAUCAUCAUGAAUCUGCUGCACGUUCAGCACAGGAUCUAGUCACAUGGAAAUGCAAAAAAGGAAAAAUGGCAAAAAAGGAAAAAAGAGCUAUGGUUUCAAGCUCUAUACAUUGAUGUUAAUCUUUCAUUUCCUUGGGAAGCUUUCAAAAUUAUCUGCGAAAGCCACAUAUCAAGGAAAGAAUCUGGACUUCAUAGCCAUUAAAAAGCAUAUCCUCAAGUAAGAAAUAUGCAGAAGCAUGAAACUAUUGGUGGGAAUGCAAGCUAGUACGGCCAUUCUGGAAAACAGUAUGGAGGUUCCUCAAAAAGUUGAAAAUAGAGCUACCCUACGACCCAGCAAUUGAGCUACUAGGUAUUUACCCAAAGGAUACAAAAAUACUGAUUUGAAGGGGCACAUGCACCCUGAUGUUUAUAGCAGCAUUAUGAACAAUAACCAAAUUAUGGAAAGAGCCCUAAUGUUCAUCGACUAAUCAAUGGAUAAAGAAGAUAUGGUAUGUAGGUAUGUAUAUAUAUAUAUAUAUAUAUAUAUAUAUAUAUAUAUAUAUAUAUAGGAAUGAAUAUUACCCUAUGAAUGU
ensembl:lncRNA